rnacentral:rRNA from 1 species
ACUCCUACGGGAGGCAGCAGUGGGGAAUAUUGCACAAUGGGCGCAAGCCUGAUGCAGCCAUGCCGCGUGUAUGAAGAAGGCCUUAGGGUUGUAAAGUACUUUCAGCAGUGAGGAAGGUGUUGUCGUUAAUAGCGGCAUCAUUUGACGUUAGCUGCAGAAGAAGCACCGGCUAACUCCGUGCCAGCAGCCGCGGUAAUACGGAGGGUGCGAGCGUUAAUCGGAAUUACUGGGCGUAAAGCGCAUGCAGGCGGCCUGUUAAGUCAGAUGUGAAAGCCCGGGGCUUAACCUCGGAAUUGCAUUUGAAACUGGCAGGCUAGAGUCUUGUAGAGGGGGGUAGAAUUUCAGGUGUAGCGGUGAAAUGCGUAGAGAUCUGAAGGAAUACCGGUGGCGAAGGCGGCCCCCUGGACAGAUACUGACACUCAGAUGCGAAAGCGUGGGGAGCAAACAGGAUUAGAUACCCU